AGCUCCAAUAGCGUAUAUUAAAGUUGUUGCGGUUGAAAAGCUCGUAGUUGGAUUUCUGUCGAGGACGGUCGGUCCGCACUAUGUGCGAGUAUCUGAUUCGGCCACGGCAUCCUCUUGGGGAACGGCGCUUCUCUUGAUUGAGUGGCUCGGUAUCCAAGACUUUUACUUUGAGGAAAUUAGAGUGUUCACGGCAGGCAAUCGCCUUGAAUACAUUAGCAUGGAAUAAUAAUAUAGGAUCGCGGUUCUAUUUUGUUGGUUUCUAGAAUCGAGAUAAUGAUUAAUAGGGACAGUUGGGGGCAUUCGUAUUAACACGUCAGAGGUGGAAUUCUUGGAUUGUGUUACGACGAACUACUGCGAAAGCAUUUGCCAAGGAUGUUUUCA
rnacentral:rRNA from 1 species